rnacentral:lncRNA from 1 species
GGCCUGGGAAGGGCAAGGUCCAGUGGGACCCCUGGGGACUAUCCCAGGAUGGGUUAGGGCGUGGGGGCUGGACCAGGGAAGGAUGAGGACAGCGCUAGUGGUGGUCCCCCUCCCCCUCUCUCUCGGGGCGUCCUCACCUGUGUCCCCGCUGCAGGAGCAGCAACAGCGGUGGGGCUGGGGGUACCAAACACCCGAGCUCCUGGCCCCCUCUGCAGAGCUGCCUGAGUUCUCCUCCUCCUCUGGCUCUCUCUCCCCGCCCCUCUGAGCUUGCCGGGAGAUGGAGAGGCGUCUGUUAAUGGCCCCAGAGCGGAGUGCCACAGGGAAUGAUGCAGCGCUGUCCCCUCCCUGCCCCCCAGACUGUGGAAAGGCAGGAGAGCCAGGAGUCGGGGGUAAUUGCUGGGGAGUGUUUCUCUAGAUGGCCAAGCUUCCGAAGCCGCCCCCUUGAGGGGCGCAGCAUGGGUUACAGCCCCAGCUCUAAGACUUCGGCUGUGGGAUUGGAGCACGGGACUUCCUGUUUUUAGAUAUGAAAUGAGGGUAAAGGGAAUGUAGAGGGGGACAAUCCAGGUCCCACCCCCCUACCAUCUCAGGCAGGCCCCACUCCGAGGGGGUAGUCUCUCUUAUCUGUCCAUAUCCAGUGGCCUCAAAUCACACCUCCUCCGCUAGAGGGCUCUGCUUCUGGAUGGCAGGAGCACUGAUUAUGGAAUGCCUCUGGCUGGCUAUGGGUGGGUUCAAACCCCAGCUUUGCCACUGACUUGCUGCAUCCUUGAGCAAGUGACUUGCAUUGUUUCCUCAGUUGUCAGAUGGAGAGACUUAUCCCAACUUGAUAGCGUCAUUUGGAGCAUUACAUGAUGUGAAAGGUGAUAGCACUGGACACAGCUCACACCAGGGAUGCUUAAUCUUAAUUAAAGGAGUGUGAUGACAGGGGCACUGUAAUGCAGGGCCAGGCCUAGCCUUUCACCCAAGAUUUACCCACCCGUGUAAACUUCCAAUUGCCCAUUUGGCACACUCCUGAUUUGUCCA